GACGUAGGGGGCGAGCGUUAUCCGGAUUCAUUGGGCGUAAAGGGCGCGUAGGCGGUCCGCAGCAGUGGCGUGUGGAAUCCCCCGGCUCAACCGGGGGGGGCCGCGCCAGACGGGCGGACUCGAGGUGGGUAGAGGGUCGCGGAACGGGCGGAGUAGGGGUGAAAUCCGUAGAGACCGUCCGGGAACACCGUUAGCGAAGGCGGCGACCUGGGCUCAUUCUGACGCGUGAGGCGCGAAAGCGUGGGGAGCGAACGGA
rnacentral:rRNA from 1 species